rnacentral:misc_RNA from 1 species
CAGCCCAGGGCCGCGGGCUACAGCCGUUCCUUCUCCCUGCUCCUCUACCCUUGCUUCUUCCACGCCGUGCUGCUUUAGCUCGGGGAUAAAAUCCCGUCGCGCGCAGCCUCUGCUCACCGUGGCUGGUGCGCUCAUUUCCGUCGAGCUCCUUCUCUGCCAUGGCCGCCGUCAGUUCCUCCCUGCCCAGCUCCCAGCACCGCGCUCCCUCAGCUCGCGGAGCUUCUCCUCGCCCCGCUCGGCCUCUGUUUCUCCCUGCUCCCGCACAGCCGCGCGCUCUGCUUACCAUCGCAAGCUCGCCACACCCCUGGACGCCUGCUUCUUGUCUGCUCGGCGCCCCUGCGCUUGCUCGCUUGGAUCUCCCUUGCCAUGGCCGUACGCUGCCGAGCUCCAAGCUCCAACUCGGAUCUUUCUCCCUCGUCUUCCUUCACACGAGCUCGCACCAGCCUCUGCUUCCUGCUCGCCAUGGCGCUUGGCAUCCAGCUUUCUGCGCACCGGCUCCUUGCUCCAGCUCCCACGCGCGUCCGAGCUCGCCCCGGCUCCAGCUUCUCCCAUGGCCGGCGAUACUCCAGUCCUCUGCGCAGCGCGCACGCUUAGCUUGCCUCUCUUGCGCGCAGUCCUCUGUUCCUGCGUGCCACAGUCGCCCAGCUUUGUUGCCGCGCCCAGCCGUUCUCAGCUGCUCACCGUGGCCGGCUCCUGCUUGGCCACCAUCUCCCAUGGCGAUGGCCGCCGAGCUCCCUUGUCGUGGCUGUCACGUCCCUGCGCCCAGCCUUUAGCUCAAUCCGUAUGCACGCGAGCUAACUGGUGUGCUGCUGUUCUAGUUCGGAUCUCGCCCAUGGUGUCGAUCGGCUAUUGGUUUCGCCGGUUGUCGAUUUUCCUAUUCGCUAUGGUCAUCACGUCAGCCGUCCCUAUCCGAACUUGCGAGCUCGCCGACUGACCGUCGUGUUCCUUGAAAUCUCUCGUCGGUCGACCUCGCGACUUAGUUCGUCCGUCGUGCUGGUCGCUGUCCCAUACUGUACCUAUUAGCUCGGAUCCUGCCCAGCUCGUCGUCGUAUCGUUUACCGUCGAGUCGUCGAACCCGUCAUCCUCUGCUCAAACCCCACCUCACCAGCUCGCUUCAAACACGAUCUCGUCGUCAAGCUUUGCCUCAGCCUUAGCUCGUCGGUCACGCUCGCCAGAUGUCCGAUCGAAGAUUUUAUUCGGAGACUGUUGACACUCUCGCAAGCUUUAAGUCGGAAUUAAUGGACGGUACGAUAAUUGAUCGCGUGAUGCGGAAGACGAGCCAAGUCGACCCCAAACACGGGCUAAUCCACAAGAUGGUACUGAUGAACGAAACUGAAGAUGGACAGACGGAGCAAGUAUCAGAACAAAAGAUGAUCGUCAAGUGGACGUCGUCUAACAAACACUAACUUAGUGUUUAUCCCAGGCAAGCCCCGGUGCAUGCAACCCCUUUCCUUGUGUUUUUAAAUACUUUUCGCACACUUAAGUCUAGUGAAAUGAGCAUUAGGUUCAUAGGAGUUGCUUGGAACCCUUUGAUGCAUUGCUUUCCUUGAUAU